rnacentral:tRNA from 1 species
GCCUUCAUUGUGUAACGGUUAGCACACUCGGCUCGUAUUCGAGAGGUCCAGGUUCGAGUACCGGUAAGGGUA